UAAGAACACAGAAAAUUAGCAAAUGAAAAGAAAAAGCCACUUGUAACUCUAUCACCCAAAGGUGUGAAGCCACUGGCGGAGUAUCCAGGGGCCGAGGGCUGAUGCAUUUCUCCUCAUCCACCUCACUCUGACCCCGGAUGCCAGUUAACCCAGGAGAGGUCCCUGAACACAACCCCGAUGCAAGCAAAGGCAUGGAAAUUAAGGCUCAAGAAGGUGACUUGCCCAAGACUUCAUAGCCCACAACUGCUGGAGGUGGGAUUUGAACUCGUCUGCGAGGUUCGAAAUCACCCCAGCCCAGUGCCUGCUCCUGACAGAGACUCAGCAAGUGCAGCUCUGCGUGUUUCCUCCAUCACAGAGGCCUGCUUAGGGGAAAAAUCUUGCUGAAGAAAAGUGGCCGAUGGUUUCGAGAGAAGAGACGCUUAUUCAUGUAAUUCUCAAGAAUCCCAUCUCCGGCUUAGAAGGACACCUUUUCUGAUUUCCCAUUCAAAGGGACUGACGUACACUCAGGGGCUGAGGCAGCAGCUGUUUUUGCUGUGCACAGACUGGAGAGCGAUGUGUGAGUGAAGUCUGUGGCCACUUCUCUCCUCCCCCGAGCCUUCUGGGGUUUGGGUUUAUGACUCCAGAGGCGGAGAAGCGUGUUCCCUUUCUGUGCGGAUCCCGUCAUUGACAGAGUCUGUUUUAGAAGAGCAUUUUUAGAUGGCAGCGAACGUUCCAGACCCCAAAGCAUUCUCUUUACAGCACCGUCUAGCUUGGGUGGGGAUAGGGUGGGUUUGUGAACACGUGUGUGCGUGAGAGUGUGAGUGUGUGCAAGUGUGUGCACGUGUGUGUCAGUCCCUCUGUCUGGCUCCCACUGCUAGCCACCUCUGUCAUAUCCUGACUAUUUCGCCGGGGCAUCGUCCAGCCAUAGGAAUCUUCAGCAAACCUACAGUUCAGACGAACGCCCUCGUUUCUGCCCUGAGAAGAAAGUCCGUUGAGUCUGAGGGCUCCCGAGUCAUUCUCUCAAGGCAUUCAUUCAGUUUUGUUUCCCCUGGUGCUACCCUCUCUGAAGUCGUUAUUACUCAUUAGGUGUAUUGCACAUACAGAAAAAGUAGGUCAAGGAUUAAAAAAAAAAAGAAAAAACAUCUCUGGGAGAAGCACAAGUAUUGUGUAAAGCUAUUUUGAACUUGCGUGAGAUUUUUCAAGGGGGAAAUGUUUUGUGCAGAGACGGCUGCUGCCACAGCUGACUUACCAAUGAAUGCCCGUGUCUGAGCCUUUCAUACGCUAACCACGUGACCUUGGAAUUCCAUUUUGAAAUGAUAAUUGUGCCCAGUGGGGUGAGCAGCCUCUCAAUCCAGGUUCUAUACAAUAUAGGUCACCUCGAGGAUCCUCAGUAGAACAGGAACAAGAGAAUCCUGAGAAAUCUCUGUAAAGAAACAGAAAGAAUGAGAGAGAAAACUGUGUGUCUAACCACCGGGCCCCUGGGCCCUAUGUGCCACCCAGGUUUGGAGCAAGGCUGCGGGGCAGAUGAUGUCCAGGAGAGCCUCAGAAAGUCCGGGCUCUAGAAAAAAAUACGUUCCAGCUCACUCUGCUCUGACCCUGCAUCUGCUCUGUGCUGAAAGCUUUGUUGCUGCCAUGAAUAUAUUUAAGGGGAAUAAAAUGUGCAGUGUCAAAGCGACUGGCUUGAAGUGGGCUGGAUGCAUCCUAGGCUCCGCGAGGGAAAAGGCCUCUAGCUGGCAGUUGACAGAAGGGGGAAGGCAGUGAGGAGUGGGCCCACCCACGGGAGUCUGGGCAUGAGGCGGGUCCUGGUUCCCAGGCUGCCCCGUGGGAAUAUGCUCCAUGGGCUGGGGCUGCUGUGCUGGCUGCUCUUGCCCCCAGGGGGUCACUACGCUGGGCUUCUCCAUCAGGGCUAUCACGAUAUUGCCCAGGGUUUACAGGUUUACAGGCAUUAUCUCACUCAGUGUUGUUUUGCUCCCUUUCACAAAGAAAGGAAGGAAAAGAGAGGCAGGGGGUGAGAGAGGAAGCCAGACUAGCAUUCAGCUCUGCUAGUUGUUCCUCGCCUGGGUUAGGCUUCCCUGGAAAGUAGCCUGCAUUGUCUUGCACCUCCUUCAUCUGACAGCCAGGUGCUCCUACUGGAGCAUAACUGUAGUAGGCCAUUUCUGUGCCAGUUGACUGAGAAGGCAGUGUCCCUGCUUUUCUGGAAACUUCCACACAACACAAUUCCCGAUGGAAAGCAUUUAACAAUUAUGGGUGGGGCUCUGAUCAAAAAGUAAGCUUUAGAAAAGGUUAACAGCUAAGCUGGGCAUGGUGGCUCACACCUGUAAUCCCAGCACUUUAGGAGGCCGAGGCGUGCAGAUCACCUGAGGUCAGGAGUUCGAGACCAACCUGGCCAUCGUGGCAAAACUCUGUCUCUACUAAAAAUACAAACAACAACAACAACAAAAGAAAAAAAAAUUAGCCGAUCAUGGUGGCAGGCACAAGCCUGUAAUCCCAGCUACUUAGAAGGCUGAGGCAGGAGAAUCGUUUGAACCUGGGAGGUGGAGGUUGCAGUGAGCCGAGAUUGUACUACAGCACUCCAGCCUGGGCAAAAGAGUGAGACGCUCUCUCAAAUUAAAAAACAACAAAAAAAGGUAACAGCAAGUGGUUACAACCCAUGAAUCUUUAAUCAUUUUAAAUAGUAAAAGUGUUUGGAAACUCUUAUAAUAUUAGAGCUAAAACACACCUUAGGGAUGAUUUAAGGCACUUUUUCAAACGAUAAACAAGAUCCAGAUAAUUACGUCAAAUAUUUAUAGUAACCCAUCUUAUUGGUGCCAGUUUGAGAAUAGAACCCACAUUUGCAAAUAAUCUCAACACCUUCUGUUUCACCUCACUUUUCAAAGGUCCUUGAGAAGGGUAUUUGCACACUGCCUGCAAGGUAGCUGCAAUGGCUAUAAAGCUAUUGCGUAGAUAGAAUUCCAAUUGCGUAGAUAGAAUUCUACUCUAUCUGUGUUAACCUAGCUAAAAUUAAUGUGCUGUGAUAAAACUCACCAACUAAACAUG
rnacentral:lncRNA from 10 species